AUGUGAAGAGAAGAAAUUGUAAGACCCCCUUUCAGGGACCCCCACUCUAGUCUCGGAAGAGAGAGUGUACCCAAAGAAACACGAGAAUCC
rnacentral:pre_miRNA from 7 species